GUCCCUUGAGAUCAAGAGGCAGGACUAUAGGCAAUGUACACUUCACUCAAUGAAGUGGAUCAGUUGUGGUCUUGUUUCUUUGGGCACUACUCCCUUUUCAAGAUGAUUCCUUUGUGAGGUUAACGCAGGAGAGAAAACCUUGCAGGGCAGUGCAGUUUCUUGAGGAAAGACACUGUGCCUGCUCCUGGGACUUGUUUGAUGCCAGCCAAGCGGGAAUGCAGUACAGCUUCUUCACCAUAACUAGGUUUGGUCCACAGCUUCCCUUGGACAUGAAUGAGUUGACUGCUAUGCUACCCAUCACCAAACUGCAUGUUCAAAAGGACGGCCUUUGAGCAAAUAAAUAAGACUGGACAUUUCAAGGAUGGCUGUCGGGGAGGGAAUGUUUAUUUACUUCUGAGGAUAUACCGGACAGACCGUUCUCCUCCGCUUCGGCUUCUACUGCAC